rnacentral:rRNA from 1 species
AUUGAACGCUGGCGGCAGGCCUAACACAUGCAAGUCGAACGAGUGGCGGACGGGUGAGUAAUGUCUGGGUAACUGCCCGAUGGAGGUGGAUAAAUCCUGGACACGGUAGCGAAUACCCCAUACACUCGGCGGUGCCCCGAUGGGAUUAGCUUGUAGGUGUGGUAACGGCUCACACAGGCGACGAUCCCUAGCUGGUCUGAGAGGAUGACCAGCCACACUGGAACGGAGACACGGUCCAGACUCCUACGGGAGGCAGCAGUGGGGAAUAUUGCACAAUGGGCGCAAGCCUGAUGCAGCCAUGCCGCGUGUAUGAAGAAGGCCUUCGGGUUGUAAAGUACUUUCAGCGGGGAGGCGUUACCCGCAGAAGAAGCACCGGCUAACUCCGUGCCAGCCGCCGCGGUAAUUC